rnacentral:lncRNA from 1 species
AAAUCUUUCUUCCUCGACACCAAACCCGGCAUCUGGAGCACGCUGCCGUCGUCCUCGAGUUUUCCCCCGUACGCCGCCACCGCGAGGGAGCCCUCGAUGCGGCCGCACACGAGUAGAGUGGAGUCGAGGUUGACGAUGUCGACGACGGCGAGGAAGACGGCGUCGAUGGGGGCGUCGGCCGGCGCGUUGGCCUUCACCGCCCUGAGCUCGGGGAGAAUCUCGUGCGUCCGCGCCAGGGACGCCGCGGCGUCCGUGGUCUCGACGACGGAGUACGCCACCGUGUACG